rnacentral:rRNA from 1 species
AUACAUGCAAGUCGAGCGGAUUGAUGGAGUGCUUGCACUCUGAUGGUUAGCGGCGGACGGGUGAGUAACACGUAGGCAACCUGCCCUCAAGACUGGGAUAACUACCGGAAACGGUAGCUAAUACCGGAUAAUUUAUUUUGCAGCAUUGUGAAAUAAUGAAAGGCGGAGCAAUCUGUCACUUGAGGAUGGGCCUGCGGCGCAUUAGCUAGUUGGUGGGGUAACGGCCCACCAAGGCGACGAUGCGUAGCCGACCUGAGAGGGUGAACGGCCACACUGGGACUGAGACACGGCCCAGACUCCUACGGGAGGCAGCAGUAGGGAAUCUUCCGCAAUGGGCGAAAGCCUGACGGAGCAACGCCGCGUGAGUGAUGAAGGUUUUCGGAUCGUAAAGCUCUGUUGCCAAGGAAGAACGUCUUCUAGAGUAACUGCUAGGAGAGUGACGGUACUUGAGAAGAAAGCCCCGGCUAACUACGUGCCAGC